rnacentral:rRNA from 1 species
GAUGAACGCUAGCGGCAGACUUAACACAUGCAAGUCGAGGGGCAGCACGGGUAGCAAUACCUGGUGGCGACCGGCGGAAGGGUGCGUAACGCGUGAGCAACAUACCCUAUACAGGGGAAUAAGCCAGGGAAACUUGGUCUAAUGCCCCAUAGCAAUAGAAUAAGGCAUCUUAUUUUAUUUAAAGCUUCGGUGGUAUAGGAUUGGCUCGCGUGACAUUAGCUGGAUGGUGAGGUAACGGCUCACCAUGGCGAUGAUGUCUAGGGGUUCUGAGAGGAAGGCCCCCCACACUGGGACUGAGACACGGCCCAGACUCCUACGGGAGGCAGCAGUGAGGAAUAUUGGACAAUGGAUGGAAAUCUGAUCCAGCCAUGCCGCGUGCAGGAAGACGGCCCUAUGGGUUGUAAACUGCUUUUCUACGUGAGCAAUAAGGUCUACGAGUAGACUGAUGAGAGUAGCGUAGGAAUAAGCAUCGGCUAACUCCGUGCCAGCAGCCGCGGUAAUACGGAGGAUGCGAGCGUUAUCCGGAUUUAUUGGGUUUAAAGGGUGCGUAGGCGGCUUUUUAAGUCAGCGGUGAAAUUUUGCAGCUUAACUGUAACAGUGCCGUUGAUACUGAGGAGCUAGGAUUUGGUUGCUGUGGGUGGAAUGUGUGGUGUAGCGGUGAAAUGCUUAGAGAUCACACAGAAUAUCGAUUGCGAAGGCAGCUCACAAAGCCAAGAUUGACGCUGAGGCACGAAAGUGUGGGGAUCAGACAGGAUUAGAUACCCUGGUAGUCCACACUGUAACCGAUGAUAACUCGCUGUCGGCGAUACACAGUCGGUGGCCAAGCGAAAGCGAUAAGUAAUCCACCUGGGGAGUACGACCGCAAGGUUGAAACUCAAAGGAAUUGACGGGGGCCCGCACAAGCGGAGGACAUGUGGUUUAUUUCGAUGAUACGCGAGGAACCUUACCCG